rnacentral:rRNA from 1 species
AUUGAACGCUGGCGGCAUGCCUUACACAUGCAAGUCGAACGGCAGCACGGGAGCAAUCCUGGUGGCGAGUGGCGAACGGGUGAGUAAUGUAUCGGAACGUACCUUUCAGUGGGGGAUAACGUAGCGAAAGUUACGCUAAUACCGCAUAUUCUGUGAGCAGGAAAGCAGGGGAUCUUCGGACCUUGCGCUGAUUGAGCGGCCGAUAUCAGAUUAGCUAGUUGGUGAGGUAAAGGCUCACCAAGGCGACGAUCUGUAGCGGGUCUGAGAGGAUGAUCCGCCACACUGGAACUGAGACACGGUCCAGACUCCUACGGGAGGCAGCAGUGGGGAAUUUUGGACAAUGGGCGCAAGCCUGAUCCAGCCAUGCCGCGUGCA